rnacentral:rRNA from 1 species
CGUAGGGUGCGAGCGUUAAUCGGAAUUACUGGGCGUAAAGCGUGCGCAGGCGGUUUUGUAAGCCAGAUGUGAAAUCCCCGGGCUUAACCUGGGAAUGGCAUUUGGGACUGCAAGGCUGGAGUGCGGCAGAGGAGACUGGAAUUCCUGGUGUAGCAGUGAAAUGCGUAGAUAUCAGGAGGAACACCGAUGGCGAAGGCAGGUCUCUGGGCUGACACUGACGCUCAUGCACGAAAGCGUGGGGAGCAAACAGGAUCAGAUACCCUGGUAGUCCACGCCCUAAACGAUGUCGACUGGUUGUUGGGGGUUUGACACUCUCAGUAACGAAGCUAACGCGUGAAGUCGACCACCUGGGGAGUACGGCCGCAAGGUUA